rnacentral:misc_RNA from 1 species
CGCUCCCGCCCCCACCCCUUUCUCGCUUCUUCUCUCGUUGAUAAGUUUCUGCUUUCCCGCUGGCAAGGCGGGCUGGGCUUGUACCCGAAAGGCACUACGGCAGGCACGACGCUUCCUGUUCGUGUUUUGGCCGCGCGUGCGCCGCUCGCUCUCUCUCUCUCUGUCUGCACACACACGUUUCUGCUUGCACUAUUUUUUUUUCUCAUUUUUGCGGGCCAGUGCGUGUGCGGCACCUAGUUCUCAUUUUUAUCCGUAUCACCACGUACUCGUCCACGCACACACACACACACACACACACACACAUGCAAGGCAUUGAGACUGAGCCUAUUGUGUGAUUUCCUGCUAUUCCAGCGUCCUUUGUCUCUCUCUCUCCGCGUACACACAGGGGAGCAACAAGUCGUCCACCCGUCGCCCUCAUCUUUGUGUGAGCCACUGCACCGCAAGAAUCUGAGGGGAGCGUCUCGCUCGCACAGUCUUACGCGGACACACUGUUCUCUCUACUCCGUCUAUCCACUCCCCUACGGGUCGCCCAUAGCCCGUUGCGGCGCGCUUCUCACUUCAACUCCCUCUCCAUCGAUCACCCUCCAUCAGCCGCGGCGAGACAGAGCGCGUGCUUAGCCGACAUAUCCGUACGCACUGCUACUUCCCUAUAUAUAUAUUUCACAUGUGCUUCUGUCUUCCUAGCUCUGCACGAACACACACUCACACACACGAGCACACGGAAGCACGUCCGCAGAGGUAGCCGUCCUCACGUAACUUGGUGCCCAUGCUUUUGUAUGCUUGUUUGCUCUCUUUUCUCUCGCGUGCUCUCUUGCUCUUAGGCCUCUGCUUUGCCUUUCUCCAGUCUCGGUGCCUUCGACGAGGUGCGCGUCUGCCGCGUGCACGAGGACGGAGACGCGGUGCCGUGUUGGGCCAACCAUGUGUGUGAAGGGGUGCCUUAGCAGAAAGAGUGCAAGCGGAAGAGGGGAGACUUGGUGAACCGCCAACGCUCACCGUCUUUGUAGAACGCCAUGACCACGCACGGUGUCGACGUGCGCACACCCAUUUUCUACCGUCACAGUUUUGCCAACGUGCUGGAGGCGCAGUCAGGCAAGGUCUACGCUCGCUUUACUCACACCCCUCUUAUCGCGGAGCACCUGCCGCAUGGGGCGGUGAGUGGCGCGCUCAUUGAACAGUACGCUGCCACCCACCUUCACACCCUCGUCGACUUGGAGAAACUUCUGCGCGCCGUACUGGACGAGACUUUCGGCGCUCAUGCCAGCCUACACCAUCCUGCCGCCUCGAUGCGCGAAGGCGGGAGUGACGAACUCAACGCUACCAUCCUCUCUCCGUCAAGCGCCAUACUGCCAGGAAGCUCUGCACCAGCGGAGGAUGGCAUGGGUGGAGAAGAAGCCGCUACAGUUGGCUCCACACCACGUGGCGCAGAUGCUGAUGCGCGACAAAUCCACCCAGCGCAUCCACGGGGAUGUGGCGGGUUCGCUGUUGAGCAGGAGGCGUGCACGUCACCGCGCAAGCUGCCGUUGCCCGUCUCUUUCCCUGCGGACCCUCCCUCGGUGGCGCCCUCAUUCGAAGCAGCGAAUUCCGAUAGGCAAAAGGCCUCAGUGGCGGCCGGGGCCUCCGUCCACGGAGCCGCCUCGCACCUCUGGGAGCGGCUGCGUGGGUGGGCACGACGCACUGACUCCGCCGCCGCUGCUCCUCUCCCUCGCUCCACCUCGAAUAUCUCCCUUAGCGCUGCUGCGGCUAACUCGAAUGUUGCGAGGACGCGGCGAACUCGCGUCCCGCAGUGGGUGCGUGCCCCCUUCGCACCCACGCCGGGACUCGCUGCCCUCCGCGUGUCGACAAGCGUCAGUGCCGCGCCGGCGAUGCGCUGGAUGCGUUCUCCGGCACCCGUCCUCUCCGUCUCUCCGAGCGAGUCAGCCGCUGCCUCGCAGAGAGCCGAGACUCACCACACGACCUCGCCUGACGCGGUCGUGAUCACCCAGUCCUCUCAGCUGCGGAAUACCGCAGACAUGCACGACAACGAUGAUGCUGGCGGUGGCCGCGCUCGCCAAGGGGAUGACGGUGACGCUUCUUCAUCACAUCUCACGCAGACGCCGCGCCGGUAUACGCAUGGUCCCUCCCCCGCGGAACGGGAUCCGGCGAGUAUGUCGCUGGAUAUCCAGGUGACCCCGGGGCAGCUCACACCCACUGCAUCGCACACAAACGUUCACGAGAAAGGGGGUGCAUUGACGGCGGAUGCGAGACGGACGCAUCCGGUGGUUUCACCGAGCAAGAUGGUGUUCAUGGCUGCCACAGCAGCGGGCGAGAGAGCCGGAGACGGGAUCAACGUUCCUGCUGCUCCCUCCCGUGCAACUGCACAACUAGGUGCUGGCCACGACACACGGCAAAACGGCUCCGAUGUCAGCGGAGAGCAGCUUAGUGAAGAUCGACUUCUGCCACGCCCUCGACACGGCGGCAGCAGCGGCGCUAGUGGAGGGGCGGCCGGCGCCUCCACAGACCUCCGCAGUGCGGGGCCGUCAUUAUCGUUUAGCCAUACAUGGCACACUGGCGACGUACAGGCGCCGUCGAUUCCCCCAACGACGACGCGUAUACCGCAAAGAAGGACAAGUGCGGCGAGCUGCUGGGACAGGCGUGCCUACGCAACAGAGCUUGUCGGGUGGCUUCACUUGCUGGUGUGGGUGCGGUGGCAGGUGAUUCACUUCCUCCGUGACCUCUCAGGGGUGCAGGGCUUUGUGGCAUGGAGUGCGUGGUACUGGUCUUGGGCUCAGGAGCAUCCGCGCCAAGCCGCCUUUCACCAAGCACUCUCCUCCGCGUCUUUUUGGCGAGGUAUGUGGUCGCAUGGCUUGCACGCGCAGCUGAACCAGGUUCACUAUGAGAUCAGCAGGCACAUGUUCACGCUGCAGAGCGUCUUUCAGCUCAUUGUCAGCUAUAUCGGGGCGGUUUAUACGGCACUGGAGCAGCUGAACACGCUCGUGGUGCAGGUGCAGCGCAGCUGUGAGGUAAUGAUGUCGCCCGUGGCAGCGGCUGCAGCAGUGGCGGUCGCACGAGCACCCGUGGCGACGGCUGGUAGUGGUCGCGCGACGUCGCCGUUGCCAACGAACUACGCCAACGCUCACCUUGGCGGGGGUGCUUUGGGCUGUGACUCCAAGGCAAACCAGAACAGCAUGCUCUGGAGUCCGAUCGCGGCGGGCGUGGGGGGCGGAAGAGCUUCCUCGCUCACGCAGGGCUCCCGCGGCCGCGCCGGCUCUCAGCAGAGAAGAGGCCAGAGCGCUUUUGCCAGCGCCGCAGCGUCGGUGACGCCGCACGCGCGCCGCGGCCUGCACGAUGAGGCCGAGCGCGAGAGUGAAAUCAGCUUCUUUGAAGAGGAGAUGGAGGCGGCCUCGUCUUUGCACGCCAUGGACGAGCUGCGUCGUGCCGUGUGGUCGAUGCUGCAACAGCUGAAGACGAUGUUUUGCCCUGAUGGGCUGCCGCUAGAUGUGCUGGAGGUUAAUGACCAGGUUCGCUUUCCUUGGAGUGGUGGCGGUGGCGGCCUCUCUGCUGCGGGGCCGGCUACUGCCUCCAUUGCGAGACCUGACUCACAAGCCGCACUGCACCGGUCAGACGAAAACGCGCUCUUAGGCAUGUCUGUACUUGAUGAGGCGGUGCCAGCAGCUCAGUCUAGUGGCUACCAGGUUCACUUUGCCGAGGCCGGCACAUCUUGCGCCCACAACGGCAGCGGGCUGGAUGGAGGUCAACCGCCGAGCGUUCGCGAAGGGGCGCGGGUGCUGCUGCAGUGCGUGCAGUGCUCGCAGGUGCUGCUGCGGCGCCUGACGGUGCUGGUGCAGCGUGCUCACAGCCCACCGACGGCGCGGCACUGGCGGCGCAUCCUUGUCGCGGCCUUCACGAUCGUGCCGCCGUUCAUGUGGGUAUACACGAAGUCGCCGACGGAGCUGGUGGCGAUUGCCCGGAAGACGGUGAUAGUGGGGCGGCAGGUGCUCUGGUCUUACGUGAUCGACCCUGUCAUGCAACUGCGCGAGUCCCUCUCCUACGUUCGCCCCGGUGUCGAGGACCGUCGCGGCGCAGUCGAGCGGGAUGCCGUGUCGCUUGCUAAUAUCAUUCGCGACUUUCAUGAAGACAUGUACCCGAGCAUGCCGCAGAAACGGCUGGAAGAGCUGCGCGAUCGCACGUUCAAGCGUUUGCAAGCUGGCGUUGCGGACCCGGAGGGCCUGGGCCUGAUCGACGAGCAGUACCGCCACUCUGUGCGACACCCGAUUCGCAGUGUCCUGUUCGGCCACCUGCCGCGAAUCAUGCUCAUCCAGCUCUCGUACCAGGCGCUGGAGGUGAGCCGCGUGGCCAACGGCAUUGACGAGGUGCUGGAGGGCAAUGACAUCAACUUCAAGAUCAUGGCGAUGAUGCCGGUCUUCCUGGCCGGUGGCCUGCUGGCUACGUGGGGCCUCUUUCGCUACCGGUUCAAGUACAAGCCUGUGCGCCUCCGCAUGAAGCUCCUCUGGCGCUCUCUGUUCCGCGUUAUCAGCUUCGCUGGCAACGGCGAGGGGCUUGUCCUGCCAUUUUUGCGCAUCACCGCGCAGCAGCCGGGCAUCCGUCCCCAUGCCGAGGCCACCGCACUCGUCGUCGACUUUCCACGCGCGCAGACAAAUCUCGCCGGGGCGACCGGUCGGCUUCGUAGCACAAAAGCUCGGCGCCAUGCGCAUUCAUCUGCAGCUGCGGUAGGCGCCACAUUGGACUCUUCGCUGCCGUCGCGAAACACGGAGCGGGGUGGCAGUCGGCGCAUGGACGAUAUUGACACGGCCGCCUUUAGCGAGUCAGGCAGAGAUUCGGAGAGCUCGUCCGACGAGUCGCGAAGCGCCUCUGGCAGCGCUGUGACGGCCCGCCAACUCAACAACUACGAGCAAGGCAUGGUGCUGCUCUUGUCGCAUGUGAUGCGCUCCAUCGCAGCGGAGCACCUCCGCUCUUAUGCCUUCUUUCACGAGCUGAUGGAGGACUUGAACGACUUGGAGAGCGUGCAGAGCACACGACGUCAGCGACUGGCAACCCUGACGCGCAUGCGGGCCACCCACACGUACUUUUUCUGAGAGUCCCACAUGCGCCGGUGUAUGCCGCUGAGGGUUAUUUGGGUGGGUGGAAAGAGCUCCCGUUUUCUGUCUAGUCUUGUCUGCUGUUGCGUUCUUUUUGGGAGUGGGCUGUGCUGAAGUGGCCCCUGUCUCGUGAUGGCGUAUGCGUGUACUUUACAGGGAAGUUAAAGUGAGGCGAGCCUGCCCUCUUUCUCGCUAUCGAGAAACCAACG